rfam:Limnobacter sp. MED105 1103186003335, whole genome shotgun sequence.
AACUGACUUCAGCAAAAAAAAUUUGGCGCUACUUCAGGUCAGUUCAAUUCAGGCAAACCGCUUAAGCAAUAGUUCUGUUUCUCGAAUUUCACCCAGUUUUUUAGCUAUUUUGUUCAAUUCAGAAAUCCAGGAUAUUGCUAUGUCUGAUACCGUAACCGGUCAAGUUAAAUUUUUCAACGAAUCCAAAGGCUUUGGCUUCAUUUCCCGUGAAAACGGUCCUGACGUGUUCGUACACUUCAGCGCCAUUCAGGGCAACGGCUUCAAAACCUUGGCUGAAGGCCAGAAAGUGUCUUUCACUGUGACUCAAGGUCAGAAAGGCCCACAAGCUGAAAACGUAACAGCGCUGUAAUACUCGCGUCUACGUGAAGAAGCCGCCCUAGGGCGGCUUUUUUUA